rnacentral:lncRNA from 1 species
CAGCUAUUGAAAGCAGACUUCUGAAAUUUGAAUUAAAGGAUGUCUUUAUUAGCUAUCUGUGGUGGUAGUAGAUAAUAAUUUAAUAACACCUCUCUGUUGGCCUAUCCAACAGAAGGCUACGUGAUCAUUGUGUACAAAAACCAUGUAACAAAGCACAGGUUAGUCCUGGUUCUGUGAUAACAGAAAGGUGUUACGGUGACUGGAAGCUUUCUGCUUUCCAUUUUGGGAUGUUUUAGGGAGAUAGUAGCACUCCUGAACACAGUAAUACUUGUUUCUGUAUUGAUUAAACUUUUACAUGCACUUCCAUCUUCACCAAUUUGUCAUUCCCCUCCUUUCUCUUACCCCCAUAGUUUUGGGAAACAGCUGUCAUCACCAUCUUGCUGAUGAGGACAAAUGGUGGAAAUGACAGAAAUGUCAUUCUGUUUGCAAACAAGAUAAAAGCAAACCUGAAACUCAAAUGCACUUUCAACCAUCAAGUGGAGAAAACUGUCAUCAGAUCAAGACUCAAUGGUAAGUGCACGAAGUGCUUCUGAAUGGUUCUAAGGAGCUCUGGCUGAUGCUGUUACAGGGAUCGUUCUGGUUUCUCCAAGGAGGAGGAAAACAUCAAACUCUCUGAAGGAACAACAUCACAACCUGUGAGACAGACGUGCCAAUGGUCCCUAAGGAGCAGAAGCAUGCUGGGCCCCUAACCCAGAGAUCAAUGGAUCAAAACUAUCUUCUGCUGGGCUCUCAUUUGAUGGUUGGACUGGAUGAUCUUAGUGGUCUUUUCCAACCUUAAUGUUUCUAUGAUUCUAUGAUUCCAUCUGUCAAUCCGUUAUUUGUAUUUAGCUGUAACCCACAGGCUGCCAGAAAAACGCCAUUGUUUUCCUGGUCCCCAGUGACAACUAUCCCCUUGAAACCAUAGGGCAGCUUGCAGGCCAUGCCCUGUCUGCCACCUCCUGAUGUUUCCAGUCCUGCUGGGGGUCUCCCCAGAGGGUUAGUGGGUGUUUUCUAGAAGAAAAGCUUAAAUAUCAUCCCCAAAGUAUUUGUGACCUUUACUGCUCUUUCUGUCUUGAGAUAUUCUUGGAUGUUUGAGUGUUGCGGCAAUCCAUAUAGUCACUUCUCAUAGCUUGCCACUUCAAGUGCAGAGAGCACUUGACCAGGACGAGGUUUUCUAAAUUUCUCUUCCUCUGGCUGACUUUUCAUUCACCCGGUGGGGGAUUGUUUUGAGAACAUAGUGACAACUAAGCAAAAGAAAAUUCACAGCGACACUUGGGGCAAAGCUCCUUGGCAGUGAGAUGAAUUGAGCUUCUCAGGGGAAGUCCUGGGAAUGCUGUUGUUUGAGACUUUUAAAACUCUGUAGGUCAGAAAUCGCAGGGAACAGUUCUUUGCUGGCAAAUGGACAUACUGGUGGAGGUGAAGGGUCUGUCUCCUCUCAGCUUUUUUUUAUUAUUAUUAUUUAUCGUUUUAUCAGCAUCAGAUCAUUGAUUUCACCUCCACUUCAGUCUUGCUGUAUAUGCUAUACAGUCCAUAAUAAGCAUGAUACUAAAUGAU